GACGAACGCUGGCGGCGUGCUUAACACAUGCAAGUCGAACGGAAAGGCCCUGCUCUUGCGGGGUGCUCGAGUGGCGAACGGGUGAGUAACACGUGAGUAACCUGCCCUUGACUGUGGGAUAACUUCAGGAAACUGGGGCUAAUACCGGAUAGGAGCUCCUGCUGCAUGGGGGGGGUUGGAAAGUUUCGGCGGUGGGGGAUGGACUCGCGGCUUAUCAGCUUGUUGGUGGGGUAGUGGCUUACCAAGUCUUUGACGGGUAGCCGGCCUGAGAGGGUGACCGGCCACAUUGCGACUGAGAUACGGCCCAGACUCCUACUGGAGGCAGCAGUGGGGAAUAUUACACAAUGGGCGCAAGCCUGAUGCAGCAGCGUCGCGUUCGGGAUGACGUCCUUCGGGUUAUGAACCGCUGUGGCCUGUGACGAAGCGUUAGUGACGGUAAUGGGUAAAGAAGCACCGGCUAACUACGUG
rnacentral:rRNA from 1 species